rnacentral:lncRNA from 13 species
CUGAUGCAGACUAUCAAGAUCAAGUCAGUCUACUAUUCAAUGGUGGAGGGCAUCAUAAAACCUAGCUGAACUUCCCUUGAAGCAUGUCGUAAGAUCCUCAAGCCACAGGUGCCCUCUCUACACCAGAAGAAAAGGAACAUUUUUAUCUCUGAAGACACAGAAACACAGAGGAGCAUCUGAACAAACAGGUCACUGUUAUCUUUUUUGUAUGACGAACUCACAGAACCUGAGAAUCUAUAUUUGGCAAACUAUCAUCAGCUAUCAGGUUUGUCAAUUGGUGUUGCCAAAGGAGAUUGACAUUUGAGUUCACGUACUUGAGAGGAAGACCUACCCUCAAUAUCGUUGGGCAUCAUCCAAUUGGCUACCA